ACUCUUCGGAGUGAGUGGCAGACGGGUGAGUAACGCGUGGUGAACAUGCCCAUCAGUACGGAAUAGCUCCGGGAAACUGGAAUUAAUACCGUAUACGUCCUUCGGGAGAAAGAUUUAUCGCUGAUGGAUUGGCCCGCGUUAGAUUAGCUAGUUGGUGAGGUAAAAGCUCACCAAGGCGACGAUCUAUAGCUGGUCUGAGAGGAUGAUCAGCCACACUGGGACUGAGACACGGCCCAGACUCCUACGGGAGGCAGCAGUGGGGAAUCUUGGACAAUGGGGGAAACCCUGAUCCAGCCAUGCCGCGUGAAUGAUGAAGGCCUUAGGGUUGUAAAAUUCUUUCAGCAGGGAAGAUAAUGACGGUACCUGCAGAAGAAGCCCCGGCUAACUCCGUGCCAGCAGCCGCGGUAAUACGGAGGGGGCUAGCGUUGUUCGGAAUUACUGGGCGUAAAGCGCACGUAGGCGGCUAGGAAAGUCAGAGGUGAAAGCCCAGGGCUCAACCCUGGAAUUGCCUUUGAAACUAUCUAGCUAGAGUUCGGGAGAGGUGAGUGGAAUUCCGAGUGUAGAGGUGAAAUUCGUAGAUAUUCGGAGGAACACCAGAGGCGAAGGCGACUCACUGGACCGAUACUGACGCUGAGGUGCGAAAGCGUGGGGAGCAAA
rnacentral:rRNA from 1 species